GGGCUCUGGGCUCGGCUCCGGGAGAGCUCGGGCGGGAGCCCAGAGAGCGCCGCGCGGGGACCUCAAGCCAGACCCCAGCGUCCCGCCGCCUCGGCCCGGUCCUGCCCCGCCUCCUGCCCCGCCCCUUUCCAGCCCGUCCCACCCCCUCUACGCCUUCCUGUGCAGCCCCCCGCCCUCCCCGUCCGGGCCCCGCCCCCUCCCCCUGGCCCUCGCCACCGGUCCAGGGAGGGGACGGCGGGACCGGUGGGACCGGCGGGAGGGCGGACCGGGGGUGGAUAUGGCCGCGGCGCCCGGAGGGUCUGCGCCGUCCGCCGGCCCCAGCCCGCGCCUGGGUUUCAGCACCGCGGACAGCGGCGUCGGCAUGAGCGGGCUAAACCCCGGUCCUGCCGUGCCCAUGAAGGACCACGACGCCAUCAAGCUCUUCGUGGGGCAGAUCCCGCGGGGCUUGGACGAGCAAGACCUCAAGCCGCUGUUCGAGGAGUUCGGCCGCAUCUACGAGCUGACGGUGCUGAAGGACCGGCUCACCGGCCUCCACAAAGGCUGUGCCUUCCUCACCUACUGCGCCCGGGACUCUGCUCUCAAGGCCCAGAGUGCACUGCAUGAGCAGAAGACCCUGCCAGGGAUGAAUCGUCCGAUCCAAGUGAAGCCGGCCGCCAGUGAGGGUCGAGGAGAUCUGGCCAGGACAGUGUUUGCCCUGGAUAUUUCCUUCAAUCACUUUCCCAGUCUUCCUUGGCCUCUUAUGCUGCUGUCAUCACUAAAACAUCAGGGAGAGAUGUUUUGCUCCAAAUGCUGCCACCAGCAGGAUCUUCUAGAGGACCGAAAGCUGUUCGUGGGGAUGCUGGGGAAGCAGCAGGGCGAGGAGGAUGUCAGGCGCCUGUUCCAGCCCUUCGGCCAUAUAGAGGAGUGCACGGUCUUGCGGAGCCCUGACGGCACCAGUAAAGGCUGUGCCUUUGUGAAGUUCGGGAGUCAGGGGGAAGCCCAGGCAGCCAUCCAGAGUCUGCACGGUAGCCGGACCAUGGCGGGCGCCUCCUCCAGCCUCGUGGUCAAGCUGGCGGACACGGACCGGGAGCGCGCGCUGCGUCGCAUGCAGCAGAUGGCCGGCCAGCUGGGCGCGUUCCACCCGGCGCCGCUGCCGCUAGGGGCCUGCGGGGCCUACACCACGGCGGUAGGUGCCCGGCCCCGGCGGGCGGGCGAGCCAGGCCAGGCCGGGGGCCGGGAGAGCUUCCCGCCGCUGGGCUCCCCACACCCGCCCUUCUCACUCCCUAAGAUCCUGCAGCACCAGGCGGCCCUGCUGGCGGCGGCCCAGGGCCCAGGCCUAGGCCCGGUGGCCGCGGUGGCGGCGCAGAUGCAGCACGUGGCCGCCUUCAGCCUGGUGGCGGCGCCGCUGUUGCCGGCGGCAGCAGCCAACUCCGCGCCCGGCAGCGGCCCCGGCGCGCUUCCCGGACUUCCAGCGCCCAUCGGGGUCAAUGGAUUCGGCUCUCUGACCCCCCAGACCAACGGACAGCCGGGCUCCGACACUCUCUACAAUAACGGGCUCUCCCCUUACCCAGCCCAGAGCCCGGGCGUGGCUGACCCCCUGCAGCAGGCCUACGCUGGGAUGCACCACUUCGCAGCAGCCUAUCCAUCGGCCUAUGCCCCAGUGAGCACAGCUUUUCCCCAGCAGCCUUCAGCCCUGCCCCAGCAGCAAAGAGAAGGUCCUGAAGGCUGUAACCUCUUCAUCUAUCACCUGCCUCAGGAGUUCGGUGAUGCAGAACUCAUACAGACAUUCCUGCCCUUUGGAGCUGUUGUCUCUGCCAAAGUCUUUGUGGACCGAGCCACCAACCAGAGCAAGUGUUUUGGGUUUGUUAGCUUUGACAAUCCAACCAGUGCCCAGACAGCCAUUCAGGCCAUGAAUGGCUUUCAAAUUGGCAUGAAGAGGCUCAAGGUCCAGCUAAAGAGGCCCAAGGAUGCCAAUCGGCCUUACUGAUCUGCUCCCACUGACCAGCCGCAGAAAGGACUGAGACAAACUAGAUAACAUUCCUGCCCCCCACGGUCUGGGAGAGACGAUUGCAGCAAGAUCCAACCAGAAAGUGAAGAGUGAAGAGAAAGGAAAGGAAAAGCACAGCAAUGCUUGAGCAGCCCUUCCCGCGGGAGCAGCCGCAGGGAGGUGGAUCGGACCUGCGGCCAGCGCCUGGGGCUCGGGCCACGUUAGGGACAUCUUCGUCAAGUGGGUUGGACUUCGCCUGUGGCACAGUGUCAGGCUGGCAAGGCAGCUGGGGCUGGCUGAGGACCGACUGUCCAGGGGAACCAGUGGAGGGCCUUGGGGGUGCCAUGGGCUUCUCUGCCCAAGAAGCCCGUAUUUACUUCUUUCAAAAUCAUAUCAUUCCUUAGAGUUUAGGGACCAAAGGACUAUUGCUUUUUUAAGACUAUAUAUAUAUAAAUUAAAACAAAGAAACAGAAAACAAAAACAAAAUCCACACACAUGAAAAGCAACAAAGAAAAUAUAGUCUCGUAAAAGCUGCCUUUAAAUAUUCCUAGGAGACAGGGUGGAGACCCACGGAAGCCCCGGCUUCAGCAGAAGGGGGCUAUGGAAAGAUUGAUGUGUGUCUCAUUCCUACUUCAACCAUCCUCCUGAACCACCUUUUAAAAAGAAUUUAAAACUUGAGCUCUAGGCUCAUAUGCAGGUAAUGAGAGAGUUACAGAAGCAGUGAACCCAUAACCUUCAAACUCAGAGGGCAGACCUGAAGGGGCCUGGGAGGGACUCUGGUGUGCCCUGGCCUUUCCCGCCCUGAGAGGCCCCCUAGCCCGCGGGCAUGGGAACCUGCCUCUCCUUCCCGACAGCCUUCCCCACGGAACCGGGGCUUCCCGGCAGGAAGAAAGAGAGUUUGGGCCACGCCAGCCUUUCCCGUCCCCAUCCAGAUAGACAGAGGCCCUGCCUUCAGUUGAGCCGAGACACCUCCUGUUUGCCCUCACCUUGAGCCGGCCACUGUGUCCCCUGGCUCUGGGCCACCUAAGUUUGCCCGUCUGUAAAGUAGAUGCAGGAUUUAUGUAGAGGGCUGUGACAACCGACUUGGAAGGUCUGUUACUGUACAUAUACUGCCAUUGAGAAGGGGAUAAUUUUCAAUGUGUAGAAGCUUCAGAAUUUAGAGGUCCCUCUUUACCCAGGAUGUGGGAGGGAAGUAGAUGUUUUGCCAAAAUACUUCUUCACACCUUUAAAAAGUAUAUCUUUCCUAUGCAAGAGUGUCUCACGUGCUUAUCCAAGGUGCUUCUAGAUGGUGAGCAGUGUUCAGCUUAGAAGUGGUGUGUGCUCUGUCUGUCUGUCUUUGUCUGUCUGUUGUAUACAGUGGGUGCCAUAUAAAGCUGAUCAGUGGUGGUGCCUCCUGCCUGCUUCUGUGAGAUGGGCAAAAGAUUCAGCUUAGAACAAACACCACGACUCCACCUUGCCUUGGUCAGCCUUUCCUGGGCCUGCAGGGCCUUGCACAUAUUUUUCCCAGGAGGAGAUUUCCCCUCUACCCCAUAGACACGGAUCAAACUAGUCUGAGGCCCUAACUAUGUGGUGGGCACUCUGGUCCCCAGCAUUGCUGAGGCUGGAAGCCUUUGAUCUGAAAGCACAUCAGACAGUAAAUGAUGUGGGGGUGAGGUUGGAGGUUCCUCCUUCAUAACGGUUUCUAAGAAAACUUGUUCCCACCUGUUCCUCUGUCUUUGACUCAUUUUUGGAGGGGAUGGGAUGAAAAAUAAUUAUGGUAAUAAUAUUACCAAGUAAGGUGUGGUAUAUACCAACAACACAUUUCCAGCUGAGAGAGGAACCAGUGUCAAGGGCAUCAUAGACUGGCCACCCUGGACUCUGAUGGAGCUAGGUAACACCUGCAUAUUCGAACAGCUACGUGGAAGCACAGGAGACUCACCAUGCUAGGUGCUAAGCACUGUGCUAGGAAUUGGGGCUCAGGCACGCUCUAAGUACUCAGAGUUGGGGAAAAGAGACUGGUAAGUAGUUGUAACUGGGGGCCACACAGUCCGUGAUAGCAAGCAGAAGAGUACCUACUUUGGACUUGAGUGGUAAGGGAAGUCAAGGAAAGGUUUCCUGAAAGAGAUGGAGAAAGGGAAGGAUCUUCAAGCAUAAACUAGGACAAUUAGACAAAGCCAUUUGGGCAGCUGCAUUAUUUUGAUAAAUUAUCAACGAGAAGUAAUGAUCACUCUUUACUCAGUGCUUAUUAUGUGGCAGACAGUGGGCACCAAGAAAAGACCCCUUUUUCCAUUCCUAACUCUACUCUGAACCAAACUCAUCACCAAGUCAUGUCAAGACACUUGAACGAAAAUGGCAAAGUAUUUUGCUCCAUGGUUAGGGACUGGCUGUGCACCAAUGAUGCAGGGGUUGGCAGGGUCUAGAUUAGGGGUCAGCAAACUAUGGCCUCUGGGUAAAUCUGGCCUUCAGCCUGUUUGUCUAUGGCCUACAAACUGAGAAUGGUUUUUACAAUUAUAAAGGGCUUUAAAAAUAGAAACAAAACAAAAAAGAAUAUGAGACAGAGACUUAUUGUAGCCCACAAAGCCUAAAAUACUUAUUUGGUUCUUUGGGUAAAAAGUUUGCUGACCCCUAUAAGGUCAUGGAAGACCUGUAUAUCUAAUGAAUUUGAACAACAUGGUGUUUGUGUCUCUGUUGUAUGUGCAUGUAUUAGUCUGAACCAUUUCAGCUGCAAGUGUCAAAAACCAAACUUAAACAUUUAAGCCAAUAGGAAUUAUGGUGGCACCUUACAUAAUUAAUUGGCUUAUAUAAUUGAUAAAUCAAAGGGUAUAUAUCUGUUAGACAUGGCUGGAUUUAGGGGUUCAAAUGAUGAUAUUUCCAUCUCUUGGCUUUGCUUUCUUCUGCAUGUUUGCCUCACUACUUCUAGCUCUCAAGUCCUAAGGAGGACUUUGGCCAGAAUGAGUUUGUGCCCAUCUCUGGGGUAGAAGAAUAGACUGCCGUGAUUGACAACUUAACCAGGGCUCUGUGGAGAAGAGAAAUGGGUCCCAGAGGAAGGGAUGAUGGACAGAUAAGCAAUAGGCAUCUACUAUAUUCCAUGUCUUUAUUGCUCAGCAUCCACCUAUGUUUUCUUGACAAACACAGUUUUUCAAAUAUGUGCUUCCUAACAAUGCAAUGAUCCUAGGCCCAACAAAAAGAACACUCACCUACUUCCCAGUGAGUAACAAAACAGACAUGUCCAGUUGCUUUAUCGAGUGAUGUGCAAUUCUUGAUCAGGUCUGGAUAUAACACGAUUUUGCAAUCUCUGGCUAAAAGAUAAAUUUAGCUAUCCCUACAUAACAUAUAAAGUAGUGGAGGGAAAGAGGACAACCAUUUUUUUUUAAAAAAAGAAAAGAAAACACCUUUCAUUUGGGAUAGGGGAGAAGAGAAAACAGUGGUCAUUAAUCUAUAGCAUAUAGAUUCUGGACAGUGGAGUAAGUUUCUUGGUCAACAAAACUGAUUGCUCUUGGUCCUUUCCACUGGGAAAUAUCUCCUUUAUCCAUUGUCCUUUGUGGACAUCUCUGAGAGGAUGCCCCACCUGGAAUUGCAG